UUAUCCGUACAUGCUUCAUAGCAGAGUGACCUGUUAGUGAUUAUGAUCCAAACAUGGGGUUCUUGGCACAUAAAUUUGUGUAAACCCUUUUAUUUGACCCAACUGCAGUUGUGGGGGAUCAGAUCGUAAUCCGCCCUACCGAGUUUAGCACCAUAUACCUCUGAACCAACUAACAGCGGGUGAGUUUUUUCUUUUUUUCUUUUUCUUUUGUAGCAGAUUUUUACAACAUUUUUGGUUUAAA
rnacentral:lncRNA from 1 species